rnacentral:rRNA from 1 species
GACGUAGGGCGCGAGCGUUGUCCGGAUUUAUUGGGCGUAAAGAGCUCGUAGGCGGCUUGUCGCGUCGAAUGUGAAAUCUCAGAGCUCAACUCUGACAUUGCAUUCGAUACGGGCAGGCUAGAGUUCGGUAGGGGAGACUGGAAUUCCUGGUGUAGCGGUGAAAUGCGCAGAUAUCAGGAGGAACACCGGUGGCGAAGGCGGGUCUCUGGGCCGAUACUGACGCUGAGGAGCGAAAGCGUGGGGAGCGAACAGG